CACGUGCUGCCCAGUGGCUUCCGGAAGUUCCUGGUCCACAAUGUCAAGGAGCUGAGAGUGCUGCUGAUAUGCAACAAAUGAGAAGAAUAAUGUCUGGGGUGAAGGUGAAGCACCCAGCCCAAGACUCAGCAGCCAGGAAGUGGCCCAGCGCUCUUUAUACCACGGGUGCAGGAAUUCACACAGAAAAGUGGAGGCCAAGGCGUGAGAAUUCCUCAAUGACUGCCCUCUAAAGGAAGAGAUCCAAAGAAAUCCUGAGGAAGCACAACAAACAAAAACACUCUGGAUCAGAACUUCCUGUGCCAGCGUUACAUCAGGGUUUUCUAGCAGCAAGGGCGGGCUCCACAUGGCUGAAGCAGGCAACCA
rnacentral:lncRNA from 10 species